rnacentral:misc_RNA from 1 species
UCUUCUUCUUCUUCUUCUUCUUCGGUGCUGUAAUCAUAGUAAUACUCAUCGUCAUCCUCAUCAUCUUUGUCGCAUAUUAAACCUGUCAACUGUGGCUUCCUUAGUUGCUCCUGAAUUCUAUCUCUAAUGGCUGUUCCCUGACAGCAACCAUAGCCAUCAGCAUAUAGAUAAUGGAAACAAUCUUUUGUGUAUCAGCCUUCAAAACUAAACCAACCGUUUUUGCUGAAGCACAGAGAAGAGAAAGAGAUAUCUAACCAUUUUAUGGCAACCUUCUUCAAACAUCUCAAGAAAUCCAGCAACCAGUCGAUCAGCAUUCUCCACCCAUUCAUUUCGAUGCACACGAGCGGUUUUUGCUACUGUUUGUAUCUUUUCCCCCACUUUCUCUUGCUGCUUUUUCACUCUCUCACCCAACUUUUUAAGUCCCAUGUGCGCUCUGAGCCGCUUUUCCUUCACAUAGCUAACGCCCAAAUCCUUUCUUGUAUACCCACGUGCCAGAUUACGCAUUACAUACUCGUUGUAAUCUUUGACAAUCCUCAUUAUGAUAUCUGAUGUUGAGAUCCCAUCAGUUCGUUUUGUUUCCUUAAAUUUUCCAAUAGACUUCACAAAUUCAUAGACAUCCUUUCCUGCCCCACUUGUAUCAGCAUAACUACAAUUUUAGGCCAAAUAGAAAAAAAAAUUAACAUAUUAAGAAACAUAGGGAACUUAAAUGAAAAUUAGAAAAAAAAAAAAAUCCACAGUAAGAUAAUUCAGGAGUCUUUUCUACAAUUUUGGAGCAACCAGAAAACAAUUACCAAAUUACUUAGCAGAGGAAACUUAAAUGAAGGAAAAGAAUUCCAUAGGAAGAACAAUCAAUAGGCACAAACCACAGGUUGGCAAGAUUUUCUAUUGCCUACUCAUGAAUCCAUAUAUCAUGUUAGAUGCCUCAAGAAAGAAUUGCCCAAAUAACAUGUAAUAAAAAAAUGCAAAUAAGCAUAAACAUGAUAAAAAUAAAUAAACAAAAUAAGAAAGAACAAGCAGAACUUAAAUGAACAUAAAAAUCAAAAGAACAUGGAGAACUUAAAUGAGCAUAAAAAUCUAAGUAAAUUAAUGGAUGUUCAUGCUGACUUUCAACGAAUAUAUAGCAACUUUGAUGUUACUGGAUGCAUUCCCAAAAUAACGACAGAAAAACCGAAAAUAAAAUCACUAAAAUACAUUAAAAAAAAAGGCCUCAACCAUAACAAGAGAUGCUCAGUGCACAUGGCUUCUCGACAAAAGGGCUAGGAUAGUUUUAGAAGUCAUUAUACAAAACAAAAUUUUGAGCAUGUGUUAUUCAAAUAGAAGUUUAUAUAGAUAUUUUGGAAGCCAAAAAGACAAUAGAAGGAUAAUUUCCAUUUGCAUGAAGUUUCCAUAAAUUACUCAAAAGUCAAUUAUCUAUCCAUCAGCAAUUGUUUUCUUCACCAAUGAAAGAAUUUUUGAGCUCGUGUAAAGAACCAUGAAAUUUGCCUGCAUGUUAAUAAAUCUUGGAAUGACAAUUAAAAGAAACUGUUUGGACUGAUUAACCAUACGGAAGAGAGUCAUGGGCCACAUAGUCAAUCUGAUGUUUGUCAAGGAACUCUUGUGUAAGCACCCAUGGUGCAUCAGGGAUCACUUCAUCGACCCACCUGCAAUGGCGAAGAGACUCGUAUCGCUCCUUGUCAGUCAUGACAGUUUUACCCUUAUACUUGUGAGUGAUUUCAUCAUUGCAGCACCCAACUAACAGGUAAGUGUUGGGAAACAGCUUCUUGGCUUGCUCGAGAGACCGGGCGUGACCAAAGUGGAAGAGAUCGUAGAUGCCAUCAGCAUAUACUCGAACUGGUCUGUUUUCUGGUGGCUCUGCACUCUUUGCCUUCUCUUCCUCCAUGUGAAUUCUGGAAUACCUUUCUUCUUCUCUUGCGCCGAUAUUGCGUUGCUUUGAACAACACAAAGACUGCCACGCUCUCUCUCUCUCUCUCUCUCUCU